AGUGAACGCUGGCGGUAGGCCUAACACAUGCAAGUCGAACGGCAGCACAGUAAGAGCUUGCUCUUACGGGUGGCGAGUGGCGGACGGGUGAGGAAUACAUCGGAAUCUACUUUUUCGUGGGGGAUAACGUAGGGAAACUUACGCUAAUACCGCAUACGACCUACGGGUGAAAGCAGGGGAUCUUCGGACCUUGCGCGAUUGAAUGAGCCGAUGUCGGAUUAGCUAGUUGGCGGGGUAAAGGCCCACCAAGGCGACGAUCCGUAGCUGGUCUGAGAGGAUGAUCAGCCACACUGGAACUGAGACACGGUCCAGACUCCUACGGGAGGCCGCAGUGGGGAAUAUUGGACAAUGGGCGCAAUCCUGAUCCAGCCAUACCGCGUGGGUGAAGAAGGCCUUCGGGUUGUAAAGCCCUUUUGUUGGGAAAGAAAAGCAGCAGGUUAAUACCCCGCUGUUCUGACGGUACCCAAAGAAUAAGCACCGGCUAACUUCGUG
rnacentral:rRNA from 1 species